rnacentral:rRNA from 1 species
AUUGAACGCUGGCGGCAGGCCUAACACAUGCAAGUCGAACGGUAGCACAGAGAGCUUGCUCUCGGGUGACGAGUGGCGGACGGGUGAGUAACGUCUGGGAAACUGCCCGAUGGAGGGGAUAACUACUGGAAACGGUAGCUAAUACCGCAUAACGUCGCAAGACCAAAGUGGGGGACCUUCGGGCCUCACACCAUCGGAUGUGCCCAGAUGGGAUUAGCUAGUAGGUGGGGUAAUGGCUCACCUAGGCGACGAUCCCUAGCUGGUCUGAGAGGAUGACCAGCCGCACUGGAACUGAGACACGGUCCAGACGCCUACGGGAGGCAGCAGUGGGGAAUAUUGCACAAUGGGCGCAAGCCUGAUGCAGCCAUGCCGCGUGUAUGAAGAAGGCCUUCGGGUUGUAAAGUACUUUCAGCGGGGAGGAAGGCGGUGAAGUUAAUAGCUUAACCGAUUGACGUUACCCGCAGAAGAAGCACCGGCUAACUCCGUGCCAGCAGCCGCCGUAA